rnacentral:rRNA from 1 species
GAUGAACGCUGGCGGCGUGCCUAAUACAUGCAAGUCGAGCGAACAGACGAGGAGCUUGCUCCUCUGAUGUUAGCGGCGGACGGGUGAGUAACACGUGGAUAACCUACCUAUAAGACUGGGAUAACUUCGGGAAACCGGAGCUAAUACCGGAUAACAUGUUGAACCGCAUGGUUCAACAGUGAAAGACGGUCUUGCUGUCACUUAUAGAUGGAUCCGCGCCGCAUUAGCUAGUUGGUAAGGUAACGGCUUACCAAGGCAACGAUGCGUAGCCGACCUGAGAGGGUGAUCGGCCACACUGGAACUGAGACACGGUCCAGACUCCUACGGGAGGCAGCAGUAGGGAAUCUUCCGCAAUGGGCGAAAGCCUGACGUAGCAACGCCGCGUGAGUGAAGAAGGUCUUCGGAUCGUAAAACUCUGUUAUUAGGGAAGAACAAAUGUGUAAGUAACUAUGCACGUCUUGACGGUACCUAAUCAGAAAGCCACGGCUAACUACGUG